rnacentral:tRNA from 1 species
GAGGCUUUAGUUAAAGAAAUAAUAUAAAAUUGUCAUUUUUAAGUUGAUUGCAGGCCUCU